GUGGUCGGUUCGGCAGCACAUGAAUUGUAUGUGGGUAGAUACAGAGAAGAUUAAAUGGUCUCUGCGCAAGGAUGCCACACCAAUCGUGAGGCGUUCCAUAUUUUC